rnacentral:misc_RNA from 1 species
GAUGAAGAACGUAGCGAAAUGCGAUACGUAAUGUGAAUUGCAGAUUUCAGUGAAUCAUCGAAUCUUUGAACGCACAUCGCGCCCGCUAGUAUUCUGGCGGGCAUGCCUGUUCGAGCGUCAUUUCAACCAUCAAGCCCCCGGCUUGCGUUGGAGCCCUGCGGCUGCCGCAGGCUCCCAAAUCCAGUGGCGGGCUCGUCGUCGUACCGAGUGCAGUAAACAUCCUCGCUCAGGGAACGUGACGGGUUCUUGCCGUGAAACCCCCCACAUAUCAAGGUUGACCUCGGAUCAGGUAGGAAUACCCGCUGAACUUAAGCAUAUCAAUAAGCGGAGGA